UACAGAGGGUGCAAGCGUUAAUCGGAUUUACUGGGCGUAAAGCGUGCGUAGGCGGUUCGUUAAGUCGGUUGUGAAAGCCCUGGGCUCAACCUGGGAAUUGCAGUCGAUACUGGCGGGCUAGAGAACGGUAGAGGGAGGCGGAACUCCAGGUGUAGCAGUGAAAUGCGUAGAUAUCUGGAAGAACACCGAUGGCGAAGGCAACCUCCUGGGCCUGUUCUGACGCUGAGGCACGAAAGCGUGGGGAGCAAACAGG
rnacentral:rRNA from 1 species